rnacentral:lncRNA from 1 species
UCCUUGUGAAAUACAGGUGCAGAGAGAUGAGGAGAGGGAAGACCCCCACUAAACCGAGCAGCCCGGGAUGAUUCGCUUCGGGAAGAUGUGGACAUAAUAUUUGAGAUGCUAGAAAGGAUCAUUGCUACUCAGCAAGGCCGAGAGGAGAGAAGGGAGUUACCCGACCCUCCCCAACUACCACAGGUUGAGUCACCGCUACAGAGAGCGGAUCCCGACGGCACGAGCCUGCUCCUCCUCAGUACCCUCCGGCACCACCGCCGCAGUAUAAUCCGGUGCCCCAACCACAGUACUGCCCGGCACCACCACAGUACAAUCCAAUACCCCUAUUAUAUCAGCAGGUGCCAGCAUAGAGCCCCACAAUCUAUCCUCAACCCGGCUCUGUCCCUCUUCCACGGGACCCAACUCAUUCCCUGAUUGACCCGGGCUACGUAGAGAGGUACAGGAGACUGAACCCUUCCACUUUUGUAGGGUAGUCCUCUUUCGAAGAUGCCCAGUACUGGUUUGUGGAGACAGAGAAGGCCUUUAAGACAUUAGGAGUGGUUCUCGAGUAGAGGGUUACCCUUGCUUCCUACAUGCUGGUGGGGGAAGUAGGUUGUUGGUGGGAGCUCAAACAGACCACCCUACCUACACUAGUCACUUGGGAGCAGUUCUUAGCAGCCUUUCAUGCAGAGUACCUCCCCGAGCACAUCUGACAUCUAAAGGAGAUGGAGUUUGUCCAGCUGGUCCAGGGAAACAUGACGAUAUCGGAAUAUGCUCGUAAGUUCCUAGAGCUGGGCCGAUACUCCCCUGAGAUAUUGAUAGAGGAGGGCAGGAAGGCUAGGAGGUUCCAGUGGGGCCUUCGCCUAGAGAUCAAGGAACACUUAUUAGUACUAGAGCUCAAGACAUAUUCAGCGUUCUGGCAAAGGCGCAGAUCGUGGAGAGGAGUUUCAACACCCUUUCUCAGUCAGCAGGGAGCCAC